GUACGUGUAGCUCAGGGGUAGAGCACCUGCCUAGCAUGCAUGAGGCCCUGGGUUCAACCCCAGCGCCACA
rnacentral:tRNA from 1 species